rnacentral:rRNA from 2 species
CCUGUACCACCUCGUAUUCGUUUGAACGAGGGGGGGACGCAGAAAGGUAGGGUGAGCGCGCCGCUGGCUGUGCGCGUCGAAGCAUGCGAGGCUGGAACAUAGGCAAAUCCGUGUUCCGUAAGGCUGAGCUGUGACCGUGAAGGACCUUCGGGUCCGAAAUCCCUGAUCCUCCGCUGCCGAGAAAAGCCUCUAGUGAGAAUACAGGUGCCCGUACCGCAAACCGACACAGGUAGGCGAGAAGAGAAUUCUAAGACGCUCGGGAGAACUCUCGUUAAGGAACUCGGCAAAAUGACCCCGUAACUUCGGGAGAAGGGGUGCUCUAGUAGGGUUAACCGCCCGAGAGAGCCGCAGUGAAAGGAUCCAAGCGACUGUUUAGCAAAACACAGGUCUCUGCGAAGCCGUAAGGCGAAGUAUAGGGGCUGACACCUGCCCGGUGCUGGAA